AUACUUAGUGGCAGGGGAGAUACCAUGAUCACAAUGGUGGUUUUUCCAGGGCGAGGCUUACCCAUUGAACUUCAGAUGUGCUGACCCCUGCAAUUUCCCCAAAUGAGGGAAACUUGACUGCAUAAUUUGUGAUAGCAGGGGGAAAAAAAAAGUUGAAGUGUUUCAGAACUCACUUU
rnacentral:snRNA from 1 species